AUACUUACCUGGACGGGGUUUAUGGGUGAUCAAAAAGGCUCAUGACCUAGAUUAAUGGCUCACAUUGCACAUAGUGACUGUGUUCAUCUACCAUUUUCCUUGGGAGAGUGGACGUCAAAAUUUAUGUAAGAGGGGGUACGCGUUCGCGCGGCCCCUGC
rnacentral:snRNA from 9 species